UAUUCCCCACUCUGUGCUGUCCCCUUGUCCCCAUGAAGGCCCCUGAGCAUCACCUCUUCUCCCCCUAGACCUGCCCUACUGUGCCAUCAUUCUCAUGUGCCUGGCUAUGCUCCUGGGGCUCAUCCUUUGCCUUCUGUCCUGCUUCAUGUUCCAGGUCCAUCCACAAGAGUAGCACCUAAGCCUACCCUGGAACCCACAGGGCCUGGAGGACGCUCCAAAGCUUCUUUGCUGACCACAUCUCCGCCAGCCACAUCCCCAGGUCCAUCAGUUUUCUCAAGCACCACAGGUACAAAGAUAUUGGAUAUCUGGGUCAUGUCCUAGAAAUUGUGCCAUGCUUUUCUGUAGGAUUAGAGGACAAGAGACAUAGAGCAAGGGGAAAAUUGGAAAAUUGGAAAGGGUACCAUCAGUGGGUCUAGGAUGUUAAGAGUCAUGGAUGAAGAAAAGGUAUAAAGGACAGGAAAGUAGGAGGGUUGGGUUCUUAAUGUGUUAGUGAGAGUUCAAAUUCAAUAAAAAUUAGAAAGGUCCAUCA
rnacentral:lncRNA from 1 species